rnacentral:rRNA from 1 species
UACAGAGGGGGCAAGCGUUAUUCGGAAUUAUUGGGCGUAAAGGGCGCGUAGGCGGCCUGGCAAGUGGAAGGUGAAAUCCCUCGGCUUAACCGAGGAACUGCCCUCCAAACUGCUUGGCUUGAGUCCGGGAGAGGUGAGUGGAAUUCCCAGUGUAGCGGUGAAAUGCGUAGAUAUUGGGAAGAACACCGGUGGCGAAGGCGGCGACCUGGUCCUUGACUGACGCUGAGGCGCGAAAGCGUGGGGAGCAAACAGG